rnacentral:rRNA from 1 species
CGACGGGUAGCCGGCCUGAGAGGGCGACCGGCCACAUUGGGACUGAGAUACGGCCCAGACUCCUACGGGAGGCAGCAGUGGGGAAUAUUGCACAAUGGGCGCAAGCCUGAUGCAGCGACGCCGCGUGAGGGAUGGAGGCCUUCGGGUUGUAAACCUCUUUUAUCGGGGAGCAAGCGAGAGUGAGUUUACCCGUUGAAUAAGCACCGGCUAACUACGUGCCAGCAGCCGCGGUAAUACGUAGGGUGCAAGCGUUAUCCGGAAUUAUUGGGCGUAAAGGGCUCGUAGGCGGUUCGUCGCGUCCGGUGUGAAAGUCCAUCGCUUAACGGUGGAUCCGCGCCGGGUACGGGCGGGCUUGAGUGCGGUAGGGGAGACUGGAAUUCCCGGUGUAACGGUGGAAUGUGUAGAUAUCGGGAAGAACACCAAUGGCGAAGGCAGGUCUCUGGGCCGUUACUGACGCUGAGGAGCGAAAGCGUGGGGAGCGAACAGGAUUAGAUACCCUGGUAGUCCACGCCGUAAACGGUGGAUGCUGGAUGUGGGGCCCGUUCCACGGGUUCCGUGUCGGAGCUAACGCGUUAAGCAUCCCGCCUGGGGAGUACGGCCGCAAGGCUAAAACUCAAAGAAAUUGACGGGGGCCCGCACAAGCGGCGGAGCAUGCGGAUUAAUUCGAUGCAACGCGAAGAACCUUACCUGGGCUUGACAUGUUCCCGACGGUCGUAGAGAUACGGCUUCCCUUCGGGGCGGGUUCACAGGUGGUGCAUGGUCGUCGUCAGCUCGUGUCGUGAGAUGUUGGGUUAAGUCCCGCAACGAGCGCAACCCUCGCCCCGUGUUGCCAGCGGAUUAUGCCGGGAACUCACGGGGGACCGCCGGGGUUAACUCGGAGGAAGGUGGGGAUGACGUCAGAUCAUCAUGCCCCUUACGUCCAGGGCUUCACGCAUGCUACAAUGGCCGGUGCAACGGGAUGCGACGCGGCGACGCGGAGCGGAUCCCUGAAAACCGGUCUCAGUUCGGAUCGCAGUCUGCAACUCGACUGCGUGAAGGCGGAGUCGCUAGUAAUCGCGAAUCAGCAACGUCGCGGUGAAUGCGUUCCCGGGCCUUGUACACACCGCCCGUCAAGUCAUGAAAGUGGGCAGCACCCGAAGCCGGUGGCCUAACCCCUUGUGGGAUGGAGCCGUCUAAGGUGAGGCUCGUGAUUGGGACUAAGUCGGAACAAGGUAGCCGUACCGGAGGUGCGGCUG